rnacentral:rRNA from 1 species
UACGUAGGGUGCAAGCGUUAAUCGGAAUUACUGGGCGUAAAGCGUGCGCAGGCGGUGAUGUAAGACAGAUGUGAAAUCCCCGGGCUUAACCUGGGAAUUGCGUCCGAAACUAUGGAGCUGGAGUGUGGCAGAGGGAGGUGGAAUUCCACGUGUAGCGGUGAAAUGCGUAGAGAUGUGGAGGAACACCGAUGGCGAAGGCAGCCUCCUGGGCCAACACUGACGCUCAUGCACGAAAGCGUGGGGAGCAAACAGG